rnacentral:rRNA from 1 species
GACGAACGCUGGCGGCGUGCUUAACACAUGCUAGUCGAACGGAAAGGCCCUGCUUUUGUGGGGUGCUCGAGUGGCGAACGGGUGAGUAACACGUGAGUAACCUGCCCUUGACUUUGGGAUAACUUCAGGAAACUGGGGCUAAUACCGGAUAGGAGCUCCUGCUGCAUGGUGGGGGUUGGAAAGUUUCGGCGGUUGGGGAUGGACUCGCGGCUUAUCAGCUUGUUGGUGGGGUAGUGGCUUACCAAGGCUUUGACGGGUAGCCGGCCUGAGAGGGUGACCGGCCACAUUGGGACUGAGAUACGGCCCAGACUCCUACGGGAGGCAGCAGUGGGGAAUAUUGCACAAUGGGCGGAAGCCUGAUGCAGCAACGCCGCGUGCGGGAUGACGGCCUUCGGGUUGUAAACCGCUUUCGCCUGUGACGAAGCGUGAGUGACGGUAAUGGGUAAAGAAGCACCGGCUAACUACGUGCCAGCAGCCGCGGUGAUACGUAGGGUGCGAGCGUUGUCCGGAUUUAUUGGGCGUAAAGGGCUCGUAGGUGGUUGAUCGCGUCGGAAGUGUAAUCUUGGGGCUUAACCCUGAGCGUGCUUUCGAUACGGGUUGACUUGAGGAAGGUAGGGGAGAAUGGAAUUCCUGGUGGAGCGGUGGAAUGCGCAGAUAUCAGGAGGAACACCAGUGGCGAAGGCGGUUCUCUGGGCCUUUCCUGACGCUGAGGAGCGAAAGCGUGGGGAGCGAACAGGCUUAGAUACCCUGGUAGUCCACGCUGUAAACGGUGGGUACUAGGUGUGGGGUCCAUUCCACGGGUUCCGUGCCGUAGCUAACGCUUUAAGUACCCCGCCUGGGGAGUACGGCCGCAAGGCUAAAACUCAAAGGAAUUGACGGGGCCCCGCACAAGCGGCGGAGCAUGCGGAUUAAUUCGAUGCAACGCGUAGAACCUUACCUGGGUUUGACAUGGAUCGGGAGUGCUCAGAGAUGGGUGUGCCUCUUUUGGGGUCGGUUCACAGGUGGUGCAUGGCUGUCGUCAGCUCGUGUCGUGAGAUGUUGGGUUAAGUCCCGCAACGAGCGCAACCCUUGUUCACUGUUGCCAGCACGUUAUGGUGGGGACUCAGUGGAGACCGCCGGGGUCAACUCGGAGGAAGGUGGGGAUGACGUCAAGUCAUCAUGCCCCUUAUGUCCAGGGCCUCACGCAUGCUACAAUGGCUGGUACAGAGAGUGGCGAGCCUGUGAGGGUGAGCGAAUCUCGGAAAGCCGGUCUCAGUUCGGAUUGGGGUCUGCAACUCGACCUCAUGAAGUCGGAGUCGCUAGUAAUCGCAGAUCAGCAACGCUGCGGUGAAUACGUUCCCGGG